GGGGGUGUAGCUCAGUUGGUUAGAGCGCAAGCCUGUCACGUUUGAGGUCGCGAGUUCGAGUCUCGUCACUCCCGC
rnacentral:tRNA from 2 species